GGAGAGGUGACGGAGUCCGGUUGAACGUGCCCGACUCGAAAUCGGGUGUACUCGAGAGAGUACCGUGGGUUCGAAUCCCACCCUCUCCGCCA
rnacentral:tRNA from 1 species